UGCCGCGCCGUGCCGGGUAGCAGUAAUGCCCCGAAACUAUACUUUGGGAAGUUUGACAGCACGUAGCGCGGUUUU
rnacentral:sRNA from 12 species